ACUCGUCACGCGAGCUCGCCGUUUGAAACCCAACGCCAGUCGCCUAUCGCGUAUUCUCUUCCGCUGAGGUGUAUCGGUGUUGCGAAAAACUGAAUACACACCUCGGCCGCGCUUCCACACAAAGACUCAUUGGUUCGUUCCCCUACGGCGAUAAAAAAAAAAAGAGAACAGCGUGUUGAGUCUACGCAGCGACGAACUCGCCUUCAGUUGACUCUGCGAACUCGUCCGAGGAGACAUGAGUGUGUUCUACCGGCUAUUCGCUCGAUCGUUCGCGACGUCCAGUGUCCGAAUUGCGAGUACGUGACGAAAACCGGGUUUGUGAACACGCAAACGCCACGUUAUGGUCGCGGAAGAGAAUUUAUUGACUGAAAUAAAAACUCGUAUUGUGUGCUAAGCCUAACAUGUGAUUAAUUUUUUUUUCUACUUUCGCCUACUGGUCGUUAGUUUUGAAGUAAGAAUGAAUAUCGAGACCCGUGUAUUCGGUUCUCGCCCUCCGUUGAUUCAGACUUUUUAAUCAGACUUUGUUUUGGCAGUGUUUCGAAUAUUUUUUUUCUAAUAGAAGGAGGCAGGUCAUUUGAAGUAAGAAGAACCUGCAAAGAAGCCAAGAACAAAUCGGAGAACAGAGGAUGGAAAACAAUCCAGUUUGGCGCAUGCUGCCGAAGGCGUGCAUUGCCAGCGGGAAGAGCUCUCCCAUCUGCAGUUUGGCCACAGCGUCGAGCGAGCCGAAAACAACUCUACGGACAUUCCUCGCCCCCUUGGGAAAGCCUCCGGUUGCCGCCAAACAACGCGGAGAUGUCGUUCGCUGCAGCGUCGAGGAUCAAACUCUCCCGAUCAUCCGCGAGGCUGAGGAACCCAACAAAGGAAGACUGGAAGAGUUCUUGCUCACGGAUUUGCGAGCGUUUAAAGCCAAGGACUGGAAGGAUUUCGCCUGGUUACUGGACGUGCAAGAAGAAUCUCGUGCGGUGCUACCGCUGGCCUCGACUCGGCCCCCGUCGAUGGAUAGACGAAGAGAGCCUUUCCCUUCGUCGGUAACGCCAUUCCCGAAGACGCCGCUACAACCGCCAACCAACACAUCGUCACCUCCGCGAAGAACAACUCCCCCGCCCUCGUCUACAUCACCUGCAACGCUCUUAUCAACGCCGACUCCAAUACCUUCACCACCACCACCCCCAAUACUCUCGCCACUAUCUCCAUCACCAUCGUCUCCGCAUUCACCACAACUAACACAGUCACUUGCACCAGGAUUUGUCCAACCCCUUCCAGAAUUGUCGUCACCAUGGCCUUCACUCCUCCAGUCACCACCACCACCUCCACUGUCCCCAUUACCAUCGUCUUCGUCACCCCUACCUACCCUUCCUUCACCUUCGCUGGCAACCUCAUCCCCACCACCCUCACCACUGCCAGUGCACAUAAAUCUUCUGUACACAGACUUCUUUAACAUUCUGUCUACCAUCUCGGAGUACAGGAAUCCGCAGUUGGAGGAAGAACUCAGGGUCCUCGGCUCGUUCAAGCAUGUUGACUGGUAAACCUUUCAGUAGGGUUAGAGUAAACUAGUAGUGAAAUGCUUUCCACGAUGACUACUUUUAUGUCAGUAUGCUUGUGUAACAUUGUUUUCUGAGUUACAGUUUUCAUUAUAAUUAAUAAAUAUUUUGUUUACAGUAUACCAGUAAUUGAAAACAUGGUUUAAGUGUGUUAGUUUUGUAAAGCGUACUUUAGUAUUCAUACUGUAGAUCAAUUGUGCCAAACAAAAUAAUAGAUUGAGUGUGAACUUUAUAUCUGUACGAUUAUUUUUCUAAACACAAGUUUUGUAAAUACUCUUCACGUAAUAUUUUAUUCUGAAUGUUCAGGUUAGAGUAUUGAGUAUUUUAAUGUAAGUUGACUUCAGACUUUCAAUAUAUCCUAAAAGUUCGAGUAAGUUAUUUAGUAGCAAACCAUCCAAUUUUAAUCAAAACGAAUGGGUUGGAAUCUAAACAUAACUGUAUAUUAUGAUUAGAAUAAUUCAGUGAUAUUUCCCUUCAGGUAGUUGAUUUCUUCAGUUAAAUGUAUUGUGAAUUUGAACAAUUAUGUUUUUUGAGAACUUUGAUUACUGAUGUUGUUACAAGCGCAUAAUGAAAUUUACUACAAUUUUUAUGUAAGAUAGUUAACAGUGACGAAAUAACUCUGGUAGUUGUAUUACGUUCAAGUGAUUUAAUACAUGGCAUUGUGUACAAGAAACAUACCGUGAGCAACUGAUCAUACGUGUAAUAGUUUCGUCAGUUUGUAUUAAACUAGUUGAGCUCAGGAAAACCUCAAAACAAUUUGAGUCAAGAAACCUGCUUGUUGUACUGAACUGACAGAUGUCAUACACAUAAAUUUAGAUAAUGGAAAAAAAAAUCCCAGAAAAAUAAGCAGGAAUAUGCCUUUAAUAUACGUACUAUACUGUACAGUGUUUAAAUAAACUUUUCUUUCAGUAGGGUUAGGGUAAACUAGUAGUGAAUUGGUUUCUACAAUGACUACUUUUAUGUCAGUAGGUUUGAAUGAUAUUGUUUUCUGUAACACUUUUCUUAAUAAUUAAUAAAAAAAUUGUACAGUA